rnacentral:tRNA from 1 species
GCGCGCGUAGCUCAGCGGGAGAGCGCCCCCUUCACACGGGGGAGGUCGCAGGUUCAAUCCCUGCCGCGCGCACCA